GUAGGUGAACCUGCGGAAGGAUCAUUACCGAGUUUUCCUGUUCUACAGGAACUCCCACCCUUGUGUAACAAACAGGUUGCUUCGGCAAGACGUUGGGAAACAGCCAUCGAUAUUAGAAAUCAAUAUCGAUGCGUGCUUGCCGGAGUUUUAUACUCUUGAAUUAUGUGUAGUCAGAGAAAACAAGCAAUAUAUAAAAACUUUCAACAACGGAUCUCUUGGUUUUGGCAUCGAUGAAGAACGCAGCAUCUGA
rnacentral:misc_RNA from 1 species